CUCCACAGCAGUGGUGUGUGCGGGCAAAGGUGUGUCCCGGGCUGCUCCUUAUUCUGACACCAGAACCUCAGUCAGGUCCCGUCUAACCUGACCUGUGGCCCUGCUCUUCCAGGAGCAAUUGCUGUGAUGAUGGGGACCCCAGGGGUUGGGAAAUCUGGGUACAGUUCCGGAAAGGGAGCCUGAGAAAGGGCUACCACGUCCGGGGAAGGCAGCAGGCACCCAAAGCACCUGCUGGGGCCACAGACCACGGUGAGAAGUGAUACAGGAUACUCCCCAGGGCCCUGGCCUCAGAACGAGUCCACUCCAAGUCCUUAGCGCGGACCCACUGGAGGGUGAAUCUGGUGCCAGCAGCCGUGGGAACCCCAGCUCCAGGAG
rnacentral:ncRNA from 1 species